AGUGAACGCUGGCGGUAGGCCUAACACAUGCAAGUCGAACGGCAGCACAGUAAGAGCUUGCUCUUACGGGUGGCGAGUGGCGGACGGGUGAGGAAUAAAUCGGAAUCUACUUGUUCGUGGGGGAUAACGUAGGGAAACUUACGCUAAUACAGCAUACGACCUACGGGUGAAAGCAGGGGAUCUUCGGACCUUGCGCGAUUGAAUGAGCCGAUGUCGGAUUAGCUAGUUGGCGGGGUAAAGGCCCACCAAGGCGACGAUCCGUAGCUGGUCUGAGAGGAUGAUCAGCCACACUGGAACUGAGACACGGUCCAGACUCCUACGGGAGGCAGCAGUGGGGAAUAUUGGACAAUGGGCGCAAGCCUGAUCCAGCCAUACCGCGUGGGUGAAGAAGGCCUUCGGGUUGUAAAGCCCUUUUGUUGGGAAAGAAAAGCAGCAGGUUAAUACCCCGCUGUUCUGACGGUACCCAAAGAAUAAGCACCGGCUAACUUCGUG
rnacentral:rRNA from 1 species